CCUACGGGUGGCAGCAGUGAGGAAUAUUGGUCAAUGGACGAGAGUCUGAACCAGCCAAGUAGCGUGAAGGAUGACUGCCCUAUGGGUUGUAAACUUCUUUUAUAAAGGGAUAAAACGAGGCACGUGUGCCUUUUUGCAUGUACUUUACGAAUAAGGAUCGGCUAACUCCGUGCCAGCAGCCGCGGUAAUACGGAGGAUCCGAGCGUUAUCCGGAUUUAUUGGGUUUAAAGGGAGCGUAGAUGGGUUGAUAAGUCAGUUGUGAAAGUUUGGGGCUUAACCGUAAAAUUGCAAUUGAUACUGGCAGUCUUGAGUACAGAUGCGGUAGGCGGAAUGUGUGGUGUAGCGGUGAAAUGCUUAGAUAUCACGAAGAACCCCGAUUGCGAAGGCAGCUUACUAAACUGUGUCUGACAUUGAUGCACGAAAGUGUGGGUAGCAAACAGGAUUAGAUACCCUUGUAGUC
rnacentral:rRNA from 1 species